AGGAUAAACGCUGGCGGCGUGCUUUACCAAUGCGAGUCGGACGCGCCAUUCUACGGGGUGGCGAGUGGCGGCCGGGUGCGUAACACGUGGGUGACCUACCCAGGCGUGGGGGAUACCCGCCCGAAAGGGUGGCUAAUACCGCAUGGGCUCUCGUCUCGAGUGGCGAGAGCAAAGCGGCGCUCCGAGGAGGGGCGUGGCGCGUUUGGAGGGGCCCGCGGCCUAUCAGCUAGUCGGUGGGGUAACGGCCUACCGAGGCGGUGACGGGUAGCCGGUCUGAGAGGACGGACGGCCACACUGGGACUGAGACACGGCCCAGACUCCUACGGGAGGCAGCAGUGGGGAAUAUUGCGCAAUGGGCGAAAGCCUGACGCAGCGACGCCGCGUGGGGGAUGAAGGCCUUCGGGUUGUAAACCCUUUCAGCAGGGACGAAGCGAAAGUGACGGUACCUGCAGAAGAAGCGCCGGCUAACUACGUGCCAGCAGCCGC
rnacentral:rRNA from 1 species